CUUGUUGGUGAAUACUGUUCUGCUAAUGUGAGCUUUGAGAGGGCGGCCUGUGUGAAGGUUUCACUCAAGUCUUUUCUCUCAGGCAGACUCUGAGGGCCGAGAGAAACACAGCUUUGUUGGUGGGAACGGGACUUUUCCAAUAGAGUGGAGUGAGAGAAACACCAGACAUCAGUGCCGAAUUUUAGUUGUGAAUGAGCUGUAAGGCCAGAGAAGUCUUCAGUUUUUAAGUGUGUUGCCUUGACUGGGCAUGGCCACUGGUUGGGCAAGAGGGCGGGAAAGAAGCCACUGACAGUAACUAAUGUCUGGGAACUUUCUACCACGGAUUUACCACACCAGUCAUCUCAUAAGGCAGCUGCAGAAAUGGCAGGUGGACCACAGGAGCUAGGCCAAGGUCUAACGCUCUCAUCUCCUCAGGGCAGCCAGGAUUCCAGGUAGUUCUCAAAUUCAACAACAGCAAGACAUUGUUUAAGGCUCCUGAAGUGCAGUCUCUGUAAUUUCAAAAUUAAUUGAUGUUUCACCCUGGACAAGUUCACACAACUAAAUCCUGGUAGCUCACGACAGCAGUUUCUGGAGCCAGAGUUCUGGAGCAUACCACAUCUGUACCGACUUGUCGAGGCGGAAGACUGUGUUAGAGAGACGGCUCCUGGGAAGCUCAUACGUCAUUUUGGGACCUCAGCGUUGGAAGAGCACAGUGAAAUCAGAGUGCCUUGAGGAAGUUCCUUAACCUGAUUUCCUCGAGAAGCAUUCCACAUCUGUACCAACUUGCUCAGAGUGACUGGUUCAAGACUGCAUUAGCUAUUUAUCCAAGAAUGUCCUGCCUAUUUGGAAACGGCAUAUUAAGAUAGCACUUUGCACAAGCCCUUUUUUGUUUAAACAGGAAGAAAUGCCAAAGGGGUGGGGGGGGAGGAGAACUGGAAACAGGCUUUUCUUGAUGUGAAGAAUUCCAGUGGAGAAGACAGAGGCUUUAACAAGUUGUCCAGCCAUGAUGAAAAUGAGCACCUCACACCCCCCAAACUGACCUUGAUUUGCACACCCAUUGCUCUACUUGCUAAUAAGUACAAAUGGUCAACAAAAUUAAAUUGCUGAACCAAUGGUUAGACCA